CACUAGAUCCCUAUAUACACUCUGAAUCCAUUAUAUAUGCACGCUCACUAGAUCUCCUAUACAUAUUCUGGGUCCUUCAAACACACACACACUCUGGAUCCCCUAUACGCACACUAGAUUCCUUGUAAGCAAACACAUACUACAUUCCCUGAACACACACUCUCUACAAACACUACAUCACCUACACACACACACACACACACACACACACACAC